rnacentral:rRNA from 1 species
AACUCUCAACAACGGAUAUCUUGGCUCUCGCAACGAUGAAGANNNNNGCGAAAUGCGAUACGUAGUGUGAAUUGCAGAAUUCCGUGAGUCAUCGAUCUUUGAACGCACAUUGCCGGUCGAAUCUUCGGAUGAGACCACAUCUGCCUCAGCGUCG